UAGCUAGUUGGUGAGGUAAAGGCUUACCAAGGCGACGAUCUGUAGCGGGUCUGGGAGGAUGAUCCGCCACACUGGAACUGAGACACGGUCCAGACUCCUACGGGAGGCAGCAGUGGGGAAUUUUGGACAAUGGGGGCAACCCUGAUCCAGCCAUGCCGCGUGAGUGAAGAAGGCCUUCGGGUUGUAAAGCUCUUUCGGCCGGGAAGAAAUCGCAUGGGCCAAUACCCUGUGUGGAUGACGGUACCGGAAUAAGAAGCACCGGCUAACUACGUGCCAGCAGCCGCGGUAAUACGUAGGGUGCGAGCGUUAAUCGGAAUUACUGGGCGUAAAGCGUGCGCAGGCGGUUUUGUAAGACAGGCGUGAAAUCCCCGGGCUUAACCUGGGAACUGCGUUUGUGACUGCAAGGCUAGAGUACGGCAGAGGGGGGUGGAAUUCCACGUGUAGCAGUGAAAUGCGUAGAGAUGUGGAGGAACACCAAUGGCGAAGGCAGCCCCCUGGGUCGAUACUGACGCUCAUGCACGAAAGCGUGGGUAGCAAACAGGAUUAGAUACCCUGGUAGUCCACGCCCUAAACUAUGUCAACUAGGUGUUGGGUGGGUAAAACCAUUUAGUACCGUAGCUAACGCGUGAAGUUGACCGCCUGGGGAGUACGGCCGCAAGGUUAAAACUCAAAGGAAUUGACGGGGACCCGCACAAGCGGUGGAUGAUGUGGAUUAAUUCGAUGCAACGCGAAAAACCUUACCUACCCUUGACAUGCCAGGAACUUGCCAGAGAUGGCUUGGUGCCCGAAAGGGAGCCUGGACACAGGUGCUGCAUGGCUGUCGUCAGCUCGUGUCGUGAGAUGUUGGGUUAAGUCCCGCAACGAGCGCAACCCUUGUCGUUAAUUGCCAUCAUUUAGUUGGGCACUUUAACGAGACUGCCGGUGACAAACCGGAGGAAGGUGGGGAUGACGUCAAGUCCUCAUGGCCCUUAUGGGUAGGGCUUCACACGUCAUACAAUGGUCGGUACAAAGGGUUGCCAAGCCGCGAGGCGGAGCCAAUCCCAGAAAGCCGAUCGUAGUCCGGAUUGCAGGCUGCAACUCGCCUGCAUGAAGUCGGAAUCGCUAGUAAUCGUGGAUCAGCAUGUCACGGUGAAUACGUUCCCGGGUCUUGUACACACCGCCCGUCACACCAUGGGAGCGGGUUCCGCCAGAAGUAGGUAGCCUAACCGCAAGGGGGGCGCUUACCACGGCGGGGUUCGUGACUGGGGUGAAGUCGGAACAAGGUAGCCGUAGGGGAACCUGCGGCUG
rnacentral:rRNA from 1 species